UUAAGCGACUAAGCGUACACGGUGGAUGCCCUGGCAGUCAGAGGCGAUGAAGGACGUGCUAAUCUGCGAAAAGCGUCGGUAAGGUGAUAUGAACCGUUACAGCCGGCGAUGUCCGAAUGGGGAAACCCAGUGCAAUUCGUUGCACUAUCGUUUGAUGAAUACAUAGUCAAACGAGGCGAACCGGGGGAACUGAAACAUCUAAGUACCCCGAGGAAAAGAAAUCAACCGAGAUUCCCCCAGUAGCGGCGAGCGAACGGGGAGCAGCCCGGAGUCUGAAUCAGCUUGUGUGUUAGUGGAAGCGUCUGGAAAGUCGCAGGGUACAGGGUGAUACUCCCGUACACUAAAACACACAGGCUGUGAACUCGAAGAGUAGGGCGGGACACGUGGUAUCCUGUCUGAAUAUGGGGGGACCAUCCUCCAAGGCUAAAUACUCCUGACUGACCGAUAGUGAACCAGUACCGUGAGGGAAAGGCGAAAAGAACCCCGGCGAGGGGAGUGAAAAAGAACCUGAAACCGUGUACGUACAAGCAGUAGGAGCCCACUAGUUGGGUGACUGCGUACCUUUUGUAUAAUGGGUCAGCGACUUAUAUUCUGUAGCAAGGUUAACCGAAUAGGGGAGCCGCAGGGAAACCGAGUCUUAACUGGGCGUUAAGUUGCAGGGUAUAGACCCGAAACCCGGUGAUCUAGCCAUGGGCAGGUUGAAGGUUGGGUAACACUAACUGGAGGACCGAACCGACUAAUGUUGAAAAAUUAGCGGAUGACUUGUGGCUGGGGGUGAAAGGCCAAUCAAACCGGGAGAUAGCUGGUUCUCCCCGAAAGCUAUUUAGGUAGCGCCUCGUGAACUCAUCUUCGGGGGUAGAGCACUGUUUCGGCUAGGGGGUCAUCCCGACUUACCAACCCGAUGCAAACUACGAAUACCGAAGAAUGUUAUCACGGGAGACACACGGCGGGUGCUAACGUCCGUCGUGAAGAGGGAAACAACCCAGACCGCCAGCUAAGGUCCCAAAGUCAUGGUUAAGUGGGAAACGAUGUGGGAAGGCCCAGACAGCCAGGAUGUUGGCUUAGAAGCAGCCAUCAUUUAAAGAAAGCGUAAUAGCUCACUGGUCGAGUCGGCCUGCGCGGAAGAUGUAACGGGGCUAAACCAUGCACCGAAGCUGCGGCAGCGACACUAUGUGUUGUUGGGUAGGGGAGCGUUCUGUAAGCCGUUGAAGGUGGCCUGUGAGGGUUGCUGGAGGUAUCAGAAGUGCGAAUGCUGACAUAAGUAACGAUAAUGCGGGUGAAAAACCCGCACGCCGGAAGACCAAGGGUUCCUGUCCAACGUUAAUCGGGGCAGGGUGAGUCGACCCCUAAGGCGAGGCCGAAAGGCGUAGUCGAUGGGAAACAGGUUAAUAUUCCUGUACUUGGUGUUACUGCGAAGGGGGGACGGAGAAGGCUAUGUUGGCCGGGCGACGGUUGUCCCGGUUUAAGCAUGUAGGCGGAUGUUCCAGGUAAAUCCGGAACGUCACUAACGCUGAGGUGUGAUGACGAGGCACUACGGUGCUGAAGUGACAAAUGCCCUGCUUCCAGGAAAAGCCUCUAAGCAUCAGGUAACAUCAAAUCGUACCCCAAACCGACACAGGUGGUCAGGUAGAGAAUACCAAGGCGCUUGAGAGAACUCGGGUGAAGGAACUAGGCAAAAUGGUGCCGUAACUUCGGGAGAAGGCACGCUGAUGGUAGGUGAAGUGACUUGCUCAUGGAGCUGAAAUCAGUCGAAGAUACCAGCUGGCUGCAACUGUUUAUUAAAAACACAGCACUGUGCAAACACGAAAGUGGACGUAUACGGUGUGACGCCUGCCCGGUGCCGGAAGGUUAAUUGAUGGGGUUAUCCUCGCGGAGAAGCUCUUGAUCGAAGCCCCGGUAAACGGCGGCCGUAACUAUAACGGUCCUAAGGUAGCGAAAUUCCUUGUCGGGUAAGUUCCGACCUGCACGAAUGGCGUAAUGAUGGCCAGGCUGUCUCCACCCGAGACUCAGUGAAAUUGAACUCGCUGUGAAGAUGCAGUGUACCCGCGGCAAGACGGAAAGACCCCGUGAACCUUUACUAUAGCUUGACACUGAACACUGGUCCUUGAUGUGUAGGAUAGGUGGGAGGCUUUGAAGUGUGGACGCCAGUCUGCAUGGAGCCGUCCUUGAAAUACCACCCUUUAAUGGCUGGUGUUCUAACGUGGGCCCGUGAUCCGGGUUGCGGACAGUGUCUGGUGGGUAGUUUGACUGGGGCGGUCUCCUCCUAAAGAGUAACGGAGGAGCACGAAGGUCAGCUAAUCCUGGUCGGACAUCAGGAGGUUAGUGCAAUGGCAUAAGCUGGCUUGACUGCGAGCGUGACGGCGCGAGCAGGUGCGAAAGCAGGUCAUAGUGAUCCGGUGGUUCUGAAUGGAAGGGCCAUCGCUCAACGGAUAAAAGGUACUCCGGGGAUAACAGGCUGAUACCGCCCAAGAGUUCAUAUCGACGGCGGUGUUUGGCACCUCGAUGUCGGCUCAUCACAUCCUGGGGCUGAAGUAGGUCCCAAGGGUAUGGCUGUUCGCCAUUUAAAGUGGUACGCGAGCUGGGUUUAGAACGUCGUGAGACAGUUCGGUCCCUAUCUGCCGUGGGCGCUGGAGAAUUGAGGGGGGCUGCUCCUAGUACGAGAGGACCGGAGUGGACGCAUCACUGGUGUUCGGGUUGUCAUGCCAAUGGCAUUGCCCGGUAGCUAAAUGCGGAAGAGAUAAGUGCUGAAAGCAUCUAAGCACGAAACUUGCCCCGAGAUGAGUUCUCCCUGACCCUUUAAGGGUCCUGAAGGAACGUUGAAGACGACGACGUUGAUAGGCCGGGUGUGUAAGCGCAGCGAUGCGUUGAGCUAACCGGUACUAAUGAACCGUGAGGCUUAACCUU
rnacentral:rRNA from 1 species